rnacentral:tRNA from 1 species
CGGGGUAUGGUGUAACGGCAGCAUACAUCCUUUGGGAGGAUGUGGUCCCAGUUCAAGUCUGGGUACCCCGACCA